GGGGGGGAAGGCCGUUGAGGGGCGCGCGCGCGCGCUCGAGCCGGGCUCGAGCUGUGGGCAUCUCCCUCCCCUCCCUUCAGUCCCGCUCGGCAGCCGCGGCGGCAGCAGCAGCAGCAGCCUGGGCAGCGGUGCCGCCGCCUCCUUCUCUUCGUCCUCCUGCCCCCCCACCCCCGGGGCACGAUGCAGUUUAUGUUGCUUUUUAGUCGCCAGGGGAAACUGAGACUCCAGAAGUGGUAUGUCCCAUUAUCGGACAAAGAAAAGAAGAAAAUCACGAGGGAACUUGUUCAAACUGUGUUAGCCCGCAAACCGAAAAUGUGCAGCUUCCUGGAAUGGAGAGACCUGAAGAUUGUCUACAAAAGAUAUGCAAGCCUGUAUUUCUGCUGUGCUAUUGAAGAUCAGGACAAUGAACUAAUAACCUUGGAAAUAAUUCAUCGCUAUGUAGAACUUCUUGACAAGUAUUUUGGCAGUGUAUGUGAACUUGAUAUCAUCUUCAAUUUUGAAAAAGCCUAUUUUAUUCUGGAUGAGUUCCUUUUAGGAGGGGAAGUUCAGGAGACUUCCAAGAAAAAUGUUCUCAAAGCCAUCGAACAGGCGGAUCUUUUACAGGAGAGCCAGAAUGAAGACUGGGGAGGUUUGUCUGAGGAUAUCUUAUGAUUAAGAGCAAUCUAAGGCAUUAGCCCUUUUGACCCCCAUCUAAAUGAUUGGAAGCAGAGACCCCACGUAGUGUACUUGAAGAAAUUGGAUUGACAUAAACCUUCACGUCAGCUGAUGACAUCUCAGUGUUCCAUACUGUAAAUGUUCACUGCCUUCAUUGUAAUGUUUAGCUAAUGGUGUAAGAUGCUGUUUGUCAGUAUUACUGUUUUGCUAACCUGCUUCAUUCAGGCCUACAAGAAAAAUACUCCUUUUUGAAAAGGGAACAAGAAACUAAAGUACAAAAAUCAUAAAUGAAAGGGAAUUAGAUUUAAAUUGACUCGGUGUCUCCCUUCACUGCAUUUAUAGAAAAAUUGCAUUUGACUUCAAUAAGUGUACUGUUUUUUAUAAGCAAACUUGACUUCAGGAAAUGUAUCAUUAUGACAUAGCAUAUCUAAAUGGAAAGCAACUACAUGGACAACUGCAAAUAUGAAAUAUUACGGUGUAGAAAUUGUGUUUAUGCAACCAAAGACUUUUGUUCCAUCUACAUCUUAGUCACCACUUGUGAUAAUUCUACUUAUUUCAGUUGAUGCAUAAAGAUUGGAAAUACCUGUUUACUACUGAAUUUGUCAUUAUACCAAAGAAUCCUGUUAGGAUCUGCAUAUCAAACUGCUAAAAACUGUUAAGGUGAUACUACUUUUUGCUGGAAAACUGCAAACUGAUCAAUUCACUAGAAAUGAAGGUGUAUUUAAGUGUAGCUACCUUGAGUAAAACUGUGCAAGUUUGUAUACUAAAGAGGGAAUGCAUGUAGUUAAAAAAAUAAAUAAUAAAAUUCUAAGUUAGCAAACUAUCUUUAGAUCUGAUCUUGGCUUGCUCUGAACAUAAACACAGAAAGGAGGUAGGCUUUCUAAAUGUAUAGAGAGGUGUGUAAUGAAGAUUGGAUACUUUCGAAGAUGGGAAAGGAGGAGCUUUGCAAAAGGGACUUUUUAUUAUUUCAAACUCUACAAAUUAAUUUGUAUUUAUUGGUGUUUUAUAGUUAUGCUUUAAGGGUGUAUAGGUACCUUUGAAGAAACUACACCAAGUGUCAAUGUCAUUUUAACUGCUUUUCUUGACUUAGACCUUUAACAUGUGACACAUCCCCUAUGAAAUUCCUGCGUGAUGUACAGUCGAACCACCUCAUUUGCAGUGAGAGCUUUUAAAUACCAGAUUUGUAUAGUAGAUUCACUGCAAAUCAUGUAAAGUGAUAUCAAGUCAUAUUUUAACACUUUAAGCAGACUUUCAGUAAUUACAAACUAAACCUUUUUUCACCUGAGGAAAUCUGAUUCAUGUACGCUUCUGAGUUUUGAGGAGAUAGUGCCAUGCUUUGGAGUAGCCAGAUUCUGUGCGUCUGCAGGGUCCCUGAGAAGGCAGGGCUGCUUCCCUCCCUCCCUUCCCAGUAACUUCACUCUAGGAGUCAAUGUUUUGGCUUGUUCACCAGUAAGUAGUGCCACGUUUUCACAAAACUUAUGCCUCGGCAUUGCUGUGGGAAGCAGUCAUGCACUGUGAGCAUAAGCUUUUACAUGGCCAUCUGGAAAGCGAGGCUGUGGGCUUGAUGCGAUUUAGGUUAAAUUUAACCCACUGGGAAAGCCCCCUGAUCCAGAUCCCAGUGCAAUGCUUGUGGCAGCAGAAGGGCCAGCUGGGGCAGGGGUGGCUCCGCAUGCCUGCGUGGCAGUGCCAGGAUGGAGCUUGUGCAUUCAGUGUUACAAUUAGUCUGCUUAACACUUUUCCUGGGAUUUAAACGUACCAGACUGCCAGAGACUGUCUCCAUCUAGGGCAUGCAAAAGCAGUGGCUUGCAUUUCCCCAGUGCCCAACGUGCAGGGAUGGACGAGGAUAAAGUGGUAGCAGAACGAUCCUCUGUGUGUGACUAAAGUGCUGAAAUUACCUUAAGUCAAACCCGAAGCAAUUUUGUAUGUAUUCAACAUGUUUUUAAAGUUUACACUGUCACUUGUAUGUGCUUGGCUGGAUUAGGCUUUGUUGUGAUUGUGACAAACUGUUUGACCUGUCUGUCACAUUGGUUUAGUUGUAAUAAAUGUCCACUUUUACACCA